GGCGAACGGGUGAGUAAUGCAUCGGAACGUGCCCAGUAGUGGGGGAUAGCCCGGCGAAAGCCGGAUUAAUACCGCAUACGACCUACGGGUGAAAGGGGGAGAUCGCAAGACCUCUCGCUAUUGGAGCGGCCGAUGUCAGAUUAGGUAGUUGGUGGGGUAAAGGCCUACCAAGCCGACGAUCUGUAGCUGGUCUGAGAGGACGACCAGCCACACUGGGACUGAGACACGGCCCAGACUCCUACGGGAGGCAGCAGUGGGGAAUUUUGGACAAUGGGCGCAAGCCUGAUCCAGCCAUGCCGCGUGCGGGAAGAAGGCCUUCGGGUUGUAAACCGCUUUUGUCAGGGAAGAAAUCUUCUGGGUUAAUACCCCGGGAGGAUGACGGUACCUGAAGAAUAAGCACCGGCUAACUACGUGCCAGCAGCCGCGGUAAUACGUAGGGUGCAAGCGUUAAUCAGAAUUACUGGGCGUAAAGCGUGCGCAGGCGGUUUUGUAAGACAGAGGUGAAAUCCCCGGGCUCAACCUGGGAACUGCCUUUGUGACUGC
rnacentral:rRNA from 1 species